rnacentral:rRNA from 1 species
AACCUGCGGGUGCUAUAAUGCAAGUCGAGCGAAUGGAUUGAGAGCUUGCUCUCAAGAAGUUAGCGGCGGACGGGUGAGUAACACGUGGGUAACCUGCCCAUAAGACUGGGAUAACUCCGGGAAACCGGGGCUAAUACCGGAUAACAUUUUGAACUGCAUGGUUCGAAAUUGAAAGGCGGCUUCGGCUGUCACUUAUGGAUGGACCCGCGUCGCAUUAGCUAGUUGGUGAGGUAACGGCUCACCAAGGCAACGAUGCGUAGCCGACCUGAGAGGGUGAUCGGCCACACUGGGACUGAGACACGGCCCAGACUCCUACGGGAGGCAGCAGUAGGGAAUCUUCCGCAAUGGACGAAAGUCUGACGGAGCAACGCCGCGUGAGUGAUGAAGGCUUUCGGGUCGUAAAACUCUGUUGUUAGGGAAGAACAAGUGCUAGUUGAAUAAGCUGGCACCUUGACGGUACCUAACCAGAAAGCCACGGCUAACUACGUGCCAGCAGCCGCGGUAAUACGUAGGUGGCAAGCGUUAUCCGGAAUUAUUGGGCGUAAAGCGCGCGCAGGUGGUUUCUUAAGUCUGAUGUGAAAGCCCACGGCUCAACCGUGGAGGGUCAUUGGAAACUGGGAGACUUGAGUGCAGAAGAGGAAAGUGGAAUUCCAUGUGUAGCGGUGAAAUGCGUAGAGAUAUGGAGGAACACCAGUGGCGAAGGCGACUUUCUGGUCUGUAACUGACACUGAGGCGCGAAAGCGUGUGGAGCAAACAGGAUUACAUACCCUGGUAGUCCACGCCGUAAACGAUGAGUGCUAAGUGUUAGAGGGUUUCCGCCCUUUAGUGCUGAAGUUAACGCAUUAAGCACUCCGCCUGGGGAGUACGGCCGCAAGGCUGAAACUCAAGGAAUUGACGGGGGCCCGCACAAGCGGUGGAGCAUGUGGUUUAAUUCAAGCACGCGAAGAACCUUACCAUGUCUUGACAUCCUCUGAAACCCUACAGAUAGGGCUUCUCCUUCGGAGCAGAUGACAGGUGCUGCAUGUUGUCGUCAGCUCGUGUCGUGACACGUGGGUUAAGUCCCGCUACGAGCGCAACCCUUGAUCU